AUAAAAUUAAUCUACUCUAAGAUCUUGACAUAAUAUGUUGUAUUUAAAAUCUAAAAAUCAACAAGGAUAAAAUCUGCAUGCAUGGAUGUAAGCAGUAGAUCAUAUCUACUUCUAAUCUGAGUUCAGAACUCGAUACCUGAGUGCGGAUCGAUGAUCGUCGCUACUGAGAUAUAUGGUAAGGAUGAUCUUUUCUGAUUGCUCGUAGCCGCAUACACG
rnacentral:lncRNA from 1 species